AGCAGAGUGGCUCAAUGGAAAGAGUCCGGGCUUGGGAGUCAUAGUUCAUGGGUUCGAAUCCCGACUAUGCUA
rnacentral:tRNA from 1 species